AUACUCGUCGGUCUCCAUUUAAUCCCCGCACCACCGCACAUCAUAUCUGCCUCUCAACUCACAAGAAUCUCGCGCCCGGUGCUACAGCAGCAUGCCUCAUCAUCACGGCCAUCACCAUCCCCCGCCGCCAGGCCCGCCACCUCCCGAUCCCUUCGGGCCGCCACCGCCGCCCCCAGGACCGCCAGGGCCGCCUCCCCCGGUUUUCCACCACCCGCCCCCUCCACCUGGGCCACCAGGGCCUCCGCCCCCGGGCCCUCCCGGUCCACCUCCCCCGCCAUUCGCUCACCCACCGCCGCCAGGACCACCGGGUUUUCCGCCACCUCCGGGACCUCACCACCCUCAUCCUCCUCCACCUUUCUGAGGGCACUAAUUCCUUUUCAGUCAAAUAUUCUAUGUAUUGAGACUGGAUUUGAAUAAGCGAGGAUCAGCCACUCGCGUCUGUGUUGAGUAGAGAUCAUGUGUAUCUUUUCUAUGCACCAUGUAUGAAACUUGGUAUCGAUCUUCUGCUCAUUUAGGGUGGGAAAGAAUGGUUCGUCCUCCUCUUUCCAUUCUUUGCCUUUCUACUUCUUUUCACAGUCAGAUUUUGCUGUUUAAAGAAUUUAGUGGCUCAAACUCAUAAUGGGGUUAAUUCACAUAUAUUACAAAAAAAAUAAAAAAAUUAUCCCCAUUAAUAUAAAAAAAAAAAAUUAAGAGAAUUGGCUAUGUUUCUGUUGAUCUAAAUUUUCUUGAAGUUCAAUAGUCGCUUGUGUGAAGUCUUCUUUUAUUUCACGUAAUCAAUAUUUAUUUAUUUAUUUGUUAUAUUUUGGAAAUGGGAAAUUCUGUGCAAAACACCUUUCGAUCGUGUAGUACCGAG
rnacentral:lncRNA from 1 species